rnacentral:tRNA from 1 species
CCCUGUAGCUCAAAAGGUAAAGAAUCUGCCUACAAUGCAGGAGACCCAGGUUCAAUCCCUGGGUCAGGAA